UAAUAUUUUUGCAAAACUGGUGAGCCAUAAAAAGCUUUAAAAGGGAACUGGGUGAAAAUCCCAGACAGACCCGCUGCUGUAAGCUUCACACAAGGUUUUCGGAAGUUAGAUCCACUGUUCUUAGAAUGGGAAGGAUUCCGAAAAUGAAGUAAGUCAGAAGACCUGCCAGUAAGUUUAACGUUUG
rnacentral:ncRNA from 1 species